UGCAACAAACAGUCACCUAUUCUGUUUGUCACAGGACAAAGCAUUCUGUGCAUCGUGUGCGUUUACGUCAAACAAUGUUUGGUCAAGUUGAAUUGUCCUUGGAGACAUCGAAUCAUAUGACAAGUUAAUAGGUUGGAAUAUCAGCGAAUUGCUUCCAGACUGACUUAAUAGACAUCUGGAUAAACAGAACAUGGGAAAAGAAUCAAGAUCUUAUCGCCGAAGGCAUUAAAUUAAUGAAGUUGACUAAUUCAAGAGUCUGAUUCUGAUUCUGAUUGAGAUAGGCAACCCAAUACACAGGAAAAUAACAAGUUGGAAUGUAAGUGGACGUGGAAUGUGCAGGAUUCAGCAUUCAGGACGAUGCCGAGAUAGGAGACACGAAGCACGAUAGCACAAAGCCGCAAUUGUGCAAUUUGUACAAUGGCGGAAUUGCAUUUCUCACUCUCGCGCAUUCUAUGCCAUUUGGGAAGUAUAUAGCUGGCUGUGUUUUGCUGGUGGAGUUGGAUUUGGAAUCGGUUCCGAAUGGCUGAUCAGAUCUUCCGCUUGGUUAGGCAAACAUGGCAAACAUUCUCCGGGCGAUUCAGACGACCACAAACAAAACACAAGAGAUGACAUCGGAAUAAAAGUUGGGGAGUAUUAUAUUUGAUACGCAACCAAAUGUACAAGUAAGAAGAUUAUGAACAAGCAAUAAAAAGUAAGAAUAUGCAUCCCACUUGCGACCCUAGCCUGUCUACCCAGUGAAGGGCACUCUAGGGACGUCUAAGGGUGUCAGCAAGGCGACGCAACAAGUUGCUACAAGCUGCAAGCUCGUGUGAGCGCUGAGGUGAGCUUGCAAACUUAAAAGUUGGAAACUUACGCGCCGACGUUGUUGAUCCUCGGGGAUGUUUUGCUUCCGCUCGGAGGCGGCACGCGAGACAAAUUCGAGUGUACGCGAGGGGAUGGCAAAACAUACAUCAGCGUGUAUAUUGGGUUGACAACGUGACAACUAUACUAAAUCACGGCGACGGAAAAGAAACUUGAGAAUGUUGUUGUGUUUGUUUUUAGUGUGAUAACUUUUUAUUGGGAAGGGGUGGGAGAGUCACUAAGGUGUCGUUUAGGAGGUAAUUUUAUUGUUUAUAAGUGUGGAAAAUUUCGUUAUUAUAGGAUUUAUCGUUUUUGAGAUAUUUGAUAUUUUAUAAAAUAUUUCGAAAAGUUUGUUGAAUUUGGUGUUGGGAUUUUGUUUUGCAAUAACUUUUGUACCAAAAAGAUAUAAAGGUUAAUUUGGUUUCAUUUUAUAGAGAAUUUAUUUGUUUAUUACGGGACUUAAUUGCAAAUUAUUUAAAAAUGCCGUUUUUUAAUUAUUUGCGAUUUUCUAAAACAUUACACUUGAUUGUCAUUUCAGUUUACUGACUUUUCUAUGUUCAAGUUUAAUGUGCAAUAACUAUUGUUGAAAAAUAGCUAGAACUUUCAACAAAACAUCUUUUCACAGAUAAUUUAAAUGUCAAUAAGUGUUCCAAAAUUUGUUUAUUUCUAUAAAACAGUUUCUGAAUUAAUUAAGGUUUUGUAAAAUAUUGCAUAUUUUUUAAUUUUAUUUUUAAUUCAAACUUUAAACAGCGAUAAUUUUCUUAUCAAAAAACAUAUAAAACUGAAAUUAGUAUCAUUUUAAAGACAAUUUAAGCCUCUAUAAAAUAGUUUUUAUUUCAUUUUUUUACCAUUAUUAGUUUAGACGUUAUUCAACUUUUUAUAAACAAAUGCACAAUCAG